rnacentral:rRNA from 1 species
AUUGAACGCUGGCGGCAUGCCUUACACAUGCAAGUCGAACGGUAACGGGCCUUCGGGUGCCGACGAGUGGCGAACGGGUGAGUAAUGUAUCGGAACGUACCAUCGAGUGGGGGAUAACGUAGCGAAGGUUACGCUAAUACCGCAUAUUCUCUCCGGAGGAAAGCAGGGGACCGCAAGGCCUUGCGCACUUUGAGCGGCCGAUAUCAGAUUAGCUAGUUGGUGGGGUAAAAGCUCACCAAGGCGACGAUCUGUAGCGGGUCUGAGAGGAUGAUCCGCCACACUGGAACUGAGACACGGUCCAGACUCCUACGGGAGGCAGCAGUGGGGAAUUUUGGACAAUGGGGGCAACCCUGAUCCAGCCAUGCCGCGUGAGUGAAGAAGGCCUUCGGGUUGUAAAGCUCUUUCAGCCGGGAAGAAAUCGCAUGGGCUAAUACCCCGUGCGGAUGACGGUACCGGAAUAAGAAGCACCGGCUAACUACGUGCCAGCCGCCGCUGUAA